GUUGUUGGGUAGGGGAGCGUUCUGUAAGCCUGUGAAGGUGGCCUGUGAGGGUUGCUGGAGGUAUCAGAAGUGCGAAUGCUGACAUAAGUAACGAUAAAGCGGGUGAAAAGCCCGCUCGCCGGAAGACCAAGGGUUCCUGUCCAACGUUAAUCGGGGCAGGGUGAGUCGACCCCUAAGGCGAGGCCGAAAGGCGUAGUCGAUGGGAAACGGGUUAAUAUUCCCGUACUUGGUGUUACUGCGAAGGGGGGACGGAGAAGGCUAUGUUGGCCGGGCGACGGUUGUCCCGGUUUAAGCGUGUAGGUGUGUGUUCCAGGUAAAUCCGGUUCACUUUAACACUGAGGCGUGAUGACGAGGCACUACGGUGCUGAAGCAACAAAUGCCCUGCUUCCAGGAAAAGCCUCUAAGCAUCAGGUAACAUCAAAUCGUACCCCAAACCGACACAGGUGGUCAGGUAGAGAAUACCAAGGCGCUUGAGAGAACUCGGGUGAAGGAACUAGGCAAAAUGGUGCCGUAACUUCGGGAGAAGGCACGCUGACACGUAGGUGAAGUGAUUUACUCACGGAGCUGAAGUCAGUCGAAGAUACCAGCUGGCUGCAACUGUUUAUUAAAAACACAGCACUGUGCAAACACGAAAGUGGACGUAUACGGUGUGACGCCUGCCCGGUGCCGGAAGGUUAAUUGAUGGGGUCAGCGCAAGCGAAGCUCCUGAUCGAAGCCCCGGUAAACGGCGGCCGUAACUAUAACGGUCCUAAGGUAGCGAAAUUCCUUGUCGGGUAAGUUCCGACCUGCACGAAUGGCGUAAUGAUGGCCAGGCUGUCUCCACCCGAGACUCAGUGAAAUUGAACUCGCUGUGAAGAUGCAGUGUACCCGCGGCAAGACGGAAAGACCCCGUGAACCUUUACUAUAGCUUGACACUGAACAUUGAGCCUUGAUGUGUAGGAUAGGUGGGAGGCUUUGAAGCGUGGACGCCAGUCUGCGUGGAGCCGACCUUGAAAUACCACCCUUUAAUGUUUGAUGUUCUAACGUGGACCCGUGAUCCGGGUUGCGGACAGUGUCUGGUGGGUAGUUUGACUGGGGCGGUCUCCUCCUAAAGAGUAACGGAGGAGCACGAAGGUUGGCUAAUCCUGGUCGGACAUCAGGAGGUUAGUGCAAUGGCAUAAGCCAGCUUGACUGCGAGCGUGACGGCGCGAGCAGGUGCGAAAGCAGGUCAUAGUGAUCCGGUGGUUCUGAAUGGAAGGGCCAUCGCUCAACGGAUAAAAGGUACUCCGGGGAUAACAGGCUGAUACCGCCCAAGAGUUCAUAUCGACGGCGGUGUUUGGCACCUCGAUGUCGGCUCAUCACAUCCUGGGGCUGAAGUAGGUCCCAAGGGUAUGGCUGUUCGCCAUUUAAAGUGGUACGCGAGCUGGGUUUAGAACGUCGUGAGACAGUUCGGUCCCUAUCUGCCGUGGGCGCUGGAGAACUGAGGGGGGCUGCUCCUAGUACGAGAGGACCGGAGUGGACGCAUCACUGGUGUUCGGGUUGUCAUGCCAAUGGCACUGCCCGGUAGCUAAAUGCGGAAGAGAUAAGUGCUGAAAGCAUCUAAGCACGAAACUUGCCCCGAGAUGAGUUCUCCCUGAGACUUAGAGUCUCCUGAAGGAACGUUGAAGACGACGACGUUGAUAGGCCG
rnacentral:rRNA from 1 species